ensembl:lncRNA
GUGCCACUUGUACAAGAGCAUGUUUAGACCAGAAGUGAUAAGAAGGGUCGAACUGUGCUUCUUCCGACCUUGCAAAACUUCCAUCCUUGCCUCGGACAUCAGAAAUCCACCACGUGGUUUUCCCUGCUGAACGCUCAACUUCUGUCUAUAUAAAUCUUGUGCGAUGUGUUUAUCAUUGCUUCACUUUCAGCCUUGUGCUGGGAGUGAGCCCGAUUGCAAUUGUUGUUUGUCUAAUAAAUAUACUUAUAUGCAGCUCCGGAGUCCUGAGGUAACUAGGGUGAAUUUUCACCUAUCAUAUUUGGGGGCUCGUGUCCGGGAUUCCAACAACCUCAUCGACUCUCCACGCUGGGCUAAUCAUCAGGACCUGAACCGUCUAAAGACCUCCAACUUGAAUUGGAAGGAGGCCAGGGCCUGCCAGCGAGGAGAGCCGAGAGUGAAGGAAUUGAAUUAGACUAUAGGGGUUGGACUCCGAGCUGUUUAUUACCCCCAGGUCCAAGACUCAUCAGUACCUGAGGAACGUUCCAAUGCAUUCCGUACGAGGGAGGAGAGAAGCAGGGGAUGACAGCGGGAUCUGGUUCGAUGGCCUGGGCAUUCCCUGAUUGCAUUCCAGACCACUACAAAGCCUUGAACCCAGCAGCCAAUGGCCUGGCAUCUACCCUCUGCCCCUGGUGCGUCAUCGGAGCACACACAGAUUGGAUUAACUUCCUUUACUACGCCGAGAUGAAGUUCCAAAACCUGACCACAGACGGGACUACAAAAGAUCAGAGAAGAACUACACGCCAACUCCAGGUUAACGCGGCAAAACACAACUGCGAAAUUCUCACUGCCAUGAAUGGAGGCAUUCGUGUCAUGCUUGGUACUGACCAAUGUUGCACAUAUGUCCCUGAUAACACCCGAGAUGGGAAAGACUUAGAUCUGAUCCUACAAAAGAUGCAAAAAGUUGUCCAACAGAAUGCCUGAUGGGGAACAGGGCCUUCAAGGACACAGCAAAGAAACCUUGUUUGAAUGUUAUCUGAAGCCUAGGCGAGCUAAUGACACACACAGUCGACACCCACUAUGUUGGCCUACAAAUGCAAAGUAUUCAAAUGUGUGAUGAGAAAUAUGAUGACAUUUUAAAUGAUUGACUUAUGAUGAUAUGGAGUGAUGCUCAGUAAUGAUCUCUGUUCCGAAAAUCCAUGUGAUGAAGCUCAGAGUGAUGAUUUUGAAGUUAUCCAUUGAAAUUGAUAAUUGACGAAUUAAGAAAGAUGAUUUGUGAUUUUAAUUGUGAUUUUGAUUGUGAUUCUGAAUUAUCCAUUGAAACGGAUAAAAGGAGGGACUGAUGGAGAUAAUUUCCAAACACUGUUAAUGACUUAAGAAUAUAAUAAUCAAGUGCC